UGAGAAGUUGUGACUUGCUCAGGGUGACCUAGCCAGAAUGGGUGUUGGGGCAAGACAAGAACCCAAGCCUUCUUGGCUCUUCUUCCAAAGCCAGCUCUCCAGCCACUGCCAUAGCUGCCUCUACUUAGUAGCCUAAAUUUAACCAGUACCUGGCGGAGAAGAACCAAGCACGCUUCUGUCAAGAAUACCCCAGAUCUCCUAGGAAAUCAUCUCCCAACAGCCUUUUCUGACUUGUAUCUCCUCCAUUUGUUCUCAAAUUCUGCUACCCAGAUGGAAAAGAGGGAAAUCGAGAAGAAGCCUGGACAACCUUUAUUUCUGACCAUUUCUGUGAUAUGAGGCUCAACAGUAUUUGGCAAGCUUCCAAAUCCUAAUUGCUCUCUAUUAAUCUUCCUCUGGCCACUGCUACCUAAUGGCAUUUGACACUAGAAGGCAGAAGAAGAGAUCUCGUCUUCCUCACUUUUCCUAAUCAGCACCCUGAGCAAGUAGACUCUGGAGCUUCUGCCAGGAGACGCAGCAAACCUAUCCAAAAGAGAAAUGUGAAAGGUGAAAACAAGGAAGCCCAUGACAGAAAAGCCUAAAAAAAUAAGAAAAACAAAACAAACCAAUAUAAGUGGACUGCAAGGAAGAAAAACUGUCCAUCAUCCAGGGGAGGGUCAAUUAAUCAGUGUAAGAACACAUGCAAAGCCAUCCAGCCAUGAUGGACUAACAGCAAAGGACCAAUUAUCCUGUGCAUCUGUUCCACAAGUGGUAAGAAAUGGUUAAAUGAAAGGCUUCUCAUGCAUUUACAGAAGGAAACUGGAC